rnacentral:snoRNA from 1 species
CUCCUCCAGAUUCCUAACCUCUUGGAUCUAAAUAUUGGUCUGAAUAGCUCAAAAAAAGGAGGAAAAGCAACAGUGAAAUGGACUUGGAAUAGCUAGUGAAGAACAAGUUCAUCUCAAACAUAU